rnacentral:rRNA from 1 species
UACGUAGGGCGCAAGCGUUGUCCGGAAUUAUUGGGCGUAAAGAGCUCGUAGGCGGCUUGUCACGUCGGGUGUGAAAGCCCGGGGCUUAACCCCGGGUCGGCAUUCGAUACGGGCUAGCUAGAGUGUGGUAGGGGAGAUCGGAAUUCCUGGUGUAGCGGUGAAAUGCGCAGAUAUCAGGAGGAACACCGGUGGUGAAGGCGGAUCGCUGGGCCAGCACUGACGCUGAGGAGCGAAAGCGUGGGGAGCGAACAGG